rnacentral:rRNA from 1 species
GAUGAACGCUAGCGGCAGGCUUAAUACAUGCAAGUCGAGGGGCAGCAGGGUGGUAGCAAUACCACUGCUGGCGACCGGCAAACGGGUGCAGAACACGUACGCAACUUACCCUGAACUGGGGCAUAGCCCGGGGAAACCCGGAUUAAUACCCCGUAACACUUGGGGGUGGCAUCACCUCCUGGUUAAAGCUCCGGUGGUUCAGGAUGGGCGUGCGGCUGAUUAGGUAGUUGGGUGGGGUAACGGCCCACCAAGCUAACGAUCAGUAACUGGUGUGAGAGCACGACCAGUCACACGGGAACUGAGACACGGGCCCGACUCCUACGGGAGGCAGCAGUAAGGAAUAUUGGGCAAUGGAGGCAACUCUGACCCAGCCAUGCCGCGUGGAGGAUGAAGGCCCUCUGGGUUGUAAACUUCUUUUACCUGGGACGAAACCUUCCUUUUCUAAGGGAGUUGACGGUACCAGGGGAAUCAGCACCGGCUAACUCCGUGCCAGCAGCCGCCGUAAGAC